rnacentral:tRNA from 1 species
AACUCAGCGGCUAGAGUACCGUCUUCACACGGCGGGAGUCACUGGUUCGAAUCCAGUA